rnacentral:misc_RNA from 1 species
GAAAUGGGUGAAAACGGUCAAAACGACCAUGUUCGUCCAUGUUCGUGUGCUAUAGCUCACGGAAAACGGGUGAAACGUAUGGAUAGGCCAGGAACACAUGGAAAUGGGUGAAAACGGGCUAAACGACCAUGCUCGGGGGACAGAAACGGGUGAAAACGGCCAAGUACGGUGGAGACACACGGCCUGGACAUGGUGGCCACGCACGGCUGACCGGGCCAUGGCCGCCGCCGCGCUGGCCAUGGCCGGCCGGCCGGCAGAUGGCCGUCCGGCCGCUAGCUAGGGCCGGCCAA